GAUGAACGCUAGCUACAGGCUUAACACAUGCAAGUUGAGGGGCAGCAUGGUCUUAGCUUGCUAAGGCCGAUGGCGACCGGCGCACGGGUGAGUAACACGUAUCCAACCUGCCGUCUACUCUUGGACAGCCUUCUGAAAGGAAGAUUAAUACAAGAUGGCAUCAUGAGUCCGCAUGUUCACAUGAUUAAAGGUAUUCCGGUAGACGAUGGGGAUGCGUUCCAUUAGAUAGUAGGCGGGGUAACGGCCCACCUAGUCUUCGAUGGAUAGGGGUUCUGAGAGGAAGGUCCCCCANAUUGGAACUGAGACACGGUCCAAACUCCUACGGGAGGCAGCAGUGAGGAAUAUUGGUCAAUGGGCGAGAGCCUGAACCAGCCAAGUAGCGUGAAGGAUGACUGCCCUAUGGUUGUAAACUUCUUUAUUAAAGGAAUAAAGUACGGGUAUGUAUACCCGUUUGUCAUGUACUUUAUG
rnacentral:rRNA from 1 species